rnacentral:rRNA from 1 species
UACGUAGGGGGCUAGCGUUGUCCGGAUUUAUUGGGCGUAAAGAGCGUGUAGGCGGCCAGGUAGGUCCGUUGUGAAAACUCGAGGCUCAACCUCGAGACGUCGGCGGAAACCCUCUGGCUAGAGUCCGGAAGAGGAGAGUGGAAUUCCCGGUGUAGUGGUGAAAUGCGUAGAUAUCGGGAGGAACACCAGUGGCGAAGGCGACUACCUGGCCUGUUCUUGACGCUGAGGCGCGAAAGCUAGGGGAGCAAACGGG